rnacentral:rRNA from 1 species
GCAGGCUGCAACCCGCCUGCGUGAAGUCGGAAUCGCUAGUAAUCGCGGAUCAGCAUGCCGCGGUGAAUACGUUCCCGGGCCUUGUACACACCGCCCGUCACACCAUGAGAGUCGGGAACACCCGAAGUCCGUAGCCUAACUUUAACGAGGGGGCGCGGCCGAAGGUGGGUUCGAUAAUUGGGGUGAAGUCGUAACAAGGUAUC